UGCGCAGGCGGGCUUGUAAGUCAGAGGUGAAAUCCCCCGGCCUAACCGGGGAACUGCCUUUGAUACCGCAAGUCUUGAGUCUUGGAGAGGUUGCCAGAAUUCGUGGUGUAGCGGUGAAAUGCGUAGAUAUCACGAGGAAUACCUGAGGCGUAGGCGGGCAACUGGACAAGUACUGACGCUGAGGCACGAAAGCGUGGGGAGCGAACA
rnacentral:rRNA from 1 species